rnacentral:rRNA from 1 species
AUCUCGAGUGCAGUCCGAUAAGGGCUGCUUUUCCAUAGAGUCCUUCCUGUGGGAAUAAGAGGGGGGCAAGACUGGUGUCACCCGCCGCGGUAACACCAGCCCCUCGAGUGGUGGGGACUAUUAUUUGGUCUAAAGCGUCCGUAGCUGGCUGUAUCCGUCCCCCGUUAAAUCCAGCGUCCUAAGCGUUGGACUGCGGGUGAUACCAUACAGCUAGAGGGUGGGAUAGGUGAGCGGUAUUUCUGGGGUAGGGGCGAAAUCCUUUGAUCCCAGGAGGACCACCAGUGGCGAAGGCUGCUCACUAGAACACGCCUGACGGUCAGGGACGAAAGCUGGGGCAGCGAACCGGAUUAGAUACCCGGGUAGUCCCAGCUGUAAACGAUGCCAGCUAGGUGUUGGGUCGGCCACGCGCCGCCCCAGUGCCGCAGGGAAGCCGUUAAGCUGGCCACCUGGGGAGUACGGCCGCAAGGCUGAAACUUAAAGGAAUUGGCGGGGGAGCACCACCAGGCGUGAAGCCUGCGGUUUAAUUGGAGUCAACGCCGGAAAUCUUACCGGGACCGACAGCAGAGUGAAGGCCAGAUUGAAGGUCUUGCUAGACGAGCUGAGAAGAGGUGCAUGGCC